AUUCUGCAGCUGGGCUGGGGCUGCGUCACAGAAGCCUCUGAGCCUGGGGGCCUUUGUCAAGCAGUUUUUGCAGUGAGUGAGGCCGAGCUUCCAGCGCAGGACUGCUGCUCGUCCUCCUGAGCCUGCUGCAGGGCACAAGGUGGAGGGGCCCACACAAGGUGGGGGCCUCCUUGGCAGAGUCAGGAUGUCCCUUUCUGGCCUGUGGCUUUUCUCCAUCCUGCCUUCCCUUGAUUCCCAGGCUCCAUCUCAGUGAAUAGUCGCAGCACGCCGUUCUUGGCCACUGGGGACAGCGAGAUUCUGGACCUGGAGAGUGAGCUGUACCUGGGCGGUCUCCCUGAGGGGGGCCGGGUGGACCUGCCCCUGCCCCCAGAGGUGUGGACAGCAGCACUCCGGGCAGGCUACGUGGGCUGUGUGCGGGACCUCUUCAUAGAUGGGCGUAGCCGAGACCUCCGGGGCCUGGCUGAGGCUCAGGGGGCUGUGGGCGUUGCCCCCUUUUGCUCCCGGGAGACGCUGAAGCAGUGUGCAUCUGCCCCCUGUCGCAAUGGGGGCGUCUGUCGAGAAGGCUGGAACCGCUUCGUCUGUGACUGCAUCGGGACCGGCUUUCUUGGGCGGGUCUGUGAGAGAGAGGCCACGGUCCUGAGCUACGAUGGCUCCAUGUACAUGAAGAUCAUGCUGCCUAACGCCAUGCACA
rnacentral:sRNA from 1 species